AUAAAGAAAUCUAUACGUAUUCUCAUUAUAUAAUUGUUUACAAUAUUUCUUAAAUUAUUUAAAUGUUAGCGAUUUUAAAGUCUGAAGAGGGAUGAUAAUACACAGAACCUAUUUUAUUAUGAGUGCGCUGUUCUCUCUUAAAUACAUGUUUGUGUAUCGACAGAAGUAUAAAAUCGGGAAUUUUGUCAGGAGCUAUUUCGAUCAGACUUUCUAAUGGGGAACUGUAUGCGGAGUGUUUGUUUUAAUUGUCAGAAGUGUUUCGGACCGUACUGUUGUGGUGAAAAGUGUAUUAACAUCCGCCAGUGGUGUCGCUGGAUCUGGUGUAAUUGCUGCUGUAAUCGCUCCGCGUGUUGUGACAAAAGACAGACGACUGUCGACGACGUCGAUUACACAGCGGUAAAAAGACGAAGAAAGCCGAAGCGGAGCGGAGAACCGGCGCUUAGAAUCGAGGGGUAGAUUUAAUGUGGUAAUUUAAUAUAUUCUUUUAAUUAAAUUA